UGUGAUAUGGAGCAGCCAGGUAGCUCAUUAGGCUCAUGACCUAAAGGUCGUAGGUUCAAAUCCUACUAUCACAC
rnacentral:tRNA from 1 species